rnacentral:tRNA from 1 species
GAGAUGUUAACUUAAGUUUAAAGUGUCAAAUUUUUAAUUUGAAAAUGAAUAAUUCACAUCUUAUAA